rnacentral:misc_RNA from 1 species
UGAACGAACCUUGGCGAAGUCUCAGAA